rfam:Burkholderia peredens type strain LMG 29314 genome assembly, contig: contig000021
UCGACGAAACAGGGGUGCUUCGCGCGCAUCGAUCACGAGCGCGACGAGGCUGAGAGAGACCCUUUGCACCCGAUCCGGGUAAUACCGGCGAGGGAAGUUUCCGGAGAACGCGC